ensembl:lncRNA
AUGCCAUACACUUUUAGAGCUCCACACGCUAAACGUCGCAAGAUCAAGAUCUCCACAUCCAUAAAGUCUGGCGGCACUAAGGACCAGGUCACAGAAGAACCAAAAAAUGCCAGUCACAAGGCUACAACUGGGCCAAAUCCCAGUGCCUCGGGGGCAGAGAAGGCAGCACCCCAAGUACACAGCAAAAAAACCAACAAGGGCACCAUUAAAAGAGCACGCGGUCCUGAUCCUUGCUCCAAAGACACUUCUAGUAGUAAGAAUAAGCAAUUAGUUCAGAUUCCAGUAGGUAGUCGCCAAAUUUGGGAGGAAUUAUGUCACCAGGGUAAAGAUCAUUUAGGCUCAAACAAGCAAGCCAGAUUCGAAGUUAUUUGCCCACAUCAUACUAGAAUUCAUUUCAUCCCUGAUGACCAGACCACAUAUAUACUCAAAAGACACCUAAAGGUACCAUCAUCAGCCCCUGAAAAUGAAGCACAAAAACAAUGGGAAAAUUUUUCUCAUGAUUAUAAGCACCAAAUCAUUCCAGUGUACCAUCAACAGCAGGCACAGGCAGCUCUGGACUUUGUCUCUAGGACCUUAGUACCACUCUACCAAAGAGCUAUAAAAUGUGAGGAAUCCAUAAACAAGGCUAUAAGAAGACAAUUAAAUAAAAACAACUGGGAGAACUUUUUCCAGUGCCAUGAUCACCAUCUUGCAAUUCCGCUGUGUCGUCAAAAUCAGGCACGAGCCGCCUUGGACCUUUUCUCUGAGGUUUCACUUCCACGAAACCACAUACACCUAAAAUCUGCAGGACCCCGCUUUGUGAGAAAGUCUGCUAAAAAGUUAAACAAGAGAAGCUGGACAAAAUGUCCUUGUGACUACGAUCACCAUGUCACAAUUCCACUGUGUCACCUGCACCAGGUUCAGGACCUCAUCCCAAGGAUAUUACUCCCACCAGACCACAUACACACAAAAUAUGAGGCGCCCUUGAACAUGAUCUUUGAGUGUCAAAGAAAAUGUCAUCCCUUUACCAGGCCUCUGCCUGGUCCUCUCUAUUCAUCCAGGCCUCUGCUGAUAAAGGCUCUACCCAUCCCUGAUUGUUGGACCCCAGAGACUCUACCGAUUUCUGAGCGUCACUCAAAGACUCCAUUUCAUCUCAGUAUCCAAGACAUACCAGCACCUCAAAAACUUACUUUAAAUUUAACCAAGGUUCCAAAAUGCCAUCACUAUCAGGCUAAGUCUUCACGAGUCUCUGACUACCAACCUGGGUACCAAUACAAGAUCCAGCCUGAGCAGAGUAGAGGCAGAGCCAGGUGUUUAUAUGACAUCAAACCUUACCACAGUCAGGGGCUAACUUACCCUACAAAAUCUGUUGAUGACAUCAGUAGGUCCAUCCCCAAGAAAAAAGUAGAGAGUGACCUCUAUAGCCAGGUUCACUUGAGAGAGAUGAGGCAAUGCCCCCGCCCUGCCCAUUGGCCUAAUCGAUACUUGUCUCCUCAUUAUAACACCUGUUCAGUGUGUACCUCAUUGAGCUCACAUGCUUGUCCUCAUGUUGAUAGAAUGAAAUCUCCUCCAGUAAAACUGGUCACUGUACCAACGUCCUUGCCUGGGCCACAGAAGAUGCAUGUCACAUAUUUCCACAAAGUGCCCCAGUCAAAGGCAAACCCUAGUUCCAAACUCCUCCCAGGUCCUCUUUCUUGUAAAUCCAGACCCUUACGCCUUUCACCAGUUUUUCCCUCAUGCUCUCACUCAGAUCCUGCCUCCCGGCCUCCUGUGAAACGCAAGGUUACUUGGCUUGAUCUCAUCCAUGGCAAAUCUGACCAGCCAAAGGAGAAGAAGACCUAUCCAAGUCAAAAGCCAUUUUGGAAAGAGAGACCUUUCUCAAACAAGAACGCCCAAGAAGAGACAUCAAGGAGGCAAAAGAUAUGUUCCAUGUCUUUGUUAGAUAAAUUUGAAAGUAGGAUAAACAGUUAAAAAAAAAAAAGAAUAUAUGUGACUAAAUUAUAACACAAUUCUAGGUGUGUCAAGAUCUGGGAGACCUUUCUCACUACAGAGAAUGCUGAAAUUGUUAUUCUUAAUCCUUAAAAACUAAAUCAACAGGGACUUCCGGGUAAUCAUGGCUGCAAUCUAGACGCCACACGCUUCCUCUCCCCAGCACCGAACGAAAUAGACUACAUCAAAGGAGCAUAAAAAUCACCUUUGGAGGAACAGAAGGACACCCCAGUACUCCCAGUACUCCACAGAAGCGAAGGUACGUGGGGCUUGAACAUUUCCACACUAUAAUAAGGAGGAAAAGCUUGCACAGAAAAGUGAACUGAGCCACUCUUUCUCUACCUCACCUCCUCUCACCAAACCAGAGUGAGCUACCUGAGCACUCACCGGGACAGCGAGUGAGUGGGGAACGUCUCUGUCUGGGAAGGAGGGGGGGGGACUCCAGGGUCCUUGGGAUCUGGGGACUGCCAGGAAAAAACGUAUCAGGGCGGUUUCACUGGAGAAUCCAGCGCUGAUUACGGCGGUCAGCAGAGCUGUACUAGGGGCGGCUGCGCUGAACAUCUCCGUGGAGCUAAACACCAGGGGCGGACCACAGGUUGAUUAUCUGGGUGGAGCUGAACACCUGGGCAGUGUGGCUGUGAUCAGGGACCCAGCGCUCUAAGAAACCUCGGAGGCUGGGAAGAACUAGUCUGAAGCAAACUAAAUUCACAGAAAAACCACCCAUAUAACCCCAGACCCCAGACCAAAAAGGAAAGGGGAAUAAAACCACCAAAGGGAUGGCUCA